rfam:Ciona savignyi cont_33930, whole genome shotgun sequence.
GCUUGUCACCAUUCCAGAUUGAAUAUACCCGAUCUCGACUGAUCUCGGAAGUCAAGCAAUCUCGGGCUUGGUUAGUACUUUGGAUGGGUGACCGCUUGGGAAUACCAAGUGUGAUAAGCA